UGGGGAAUAUUGGACAAUGGGGGAAACCCUGAUCCAGCGAUGCCGCGUGAGUGAAGAAGGCCCUAGGGUUGUAAAGCUCUUUCAGGGGGGACGAUAAUGACGGUACCCCCAGAAGAAGCACCGGCUAACUUCGUGCCAGCAGCCGCGGUAAUACGAAGGGUGCAAGCGUUGUUCGGAAUUACUGGGCGUAAAGCGCGCGUAGGCGGUUUACUAAGUCAGACGUGAAAGCCCUGAGCUUAACUCGGGAAUGGCGUUUGAUACUGGUAAACUAGAGAUUCAGAGAGGUGAGUGGAAUUCCUAGUGUAGAGGUGAAAUUCGUAGAUAUUAGGAGGAACAUCAGUGGCGAAGGCGGCUCACUGGCUGAAUACUGACGCUAAGGCGCGAAAGCGUGGGGAGCAAACAGG
rnacentral:rRNA from 1 species